rnacentral:rRNA from 1 species
UACGUAGGGCGCAAGCGUUGUCCGGAAUUAUUGGGCGUAAAGAGCUCGUAGGCGGCUUGUCACGUCGGUUGUGAAAGCCCGGGGCUUAACCCCGGGUCUGCAGUCGAUACGGGGCAGGCUAGAGUGUGGUAGGGGAGAUCGGAAUUCCUGGUGUAGCGGUGAAAUGCGCAGAUAUCAGGAGGAACACCGGUGGCGAAGGCAGCUCUCUGGGGACGGUACUGACGCUGAGACGCGAAAGCGUGGGGAGCGAACAGGAUUAAGAAACCCUUG